rnacentral:misc_RNA from 1 species
CACCCAAGAAUCUUUAUACUCCACGAUAUAUGGGUUAUUAAGUUUUGCAAUCAAGUCCAUCUCCUGGUGAGCUGUUUCCUUGAACUUCUCCGUCUGCUUGGCCAGGCGAAUCCUCUUCAAAACAUACUUCUUAUUCUCAGCUUUAUGAAGAACAAGAAAAGCAGAACCAAAAGCUCCUCUCCCAAUCUGCUCUAUGACUUCAUAAUCUUCCAUCUUGGACUUCACUUCGCUGUUAUCUGGCUCCAUGUAAAACCUUCAAGACCGAAAACCCACUAUGUAUUAGAAAGCUCACAUCACGCUUAAAAAGAAUCAAAUCCACAAAUCUUAGCUAAGGAGAGGAGAAGAAUCCAGACAGUGAAGAGGAAACGCUAAUACCAACAGCUAGUAAAGCAAUAAUUAAUUACUGGGUAAGUGACUGAAAUUGACGAGAGACGCGUCUAGAGAAGAGAAAGUUGAGUAAAGCUACAUUCCAUAAUUAUGAGUUUCCAACUUGAGAGGGUGAGAGAGAGAGAGAGAGAGGUGAGUGGGUGAUAAUAUAUUUGAUGAGAUAGUGAAACUUUGUUGUUGACUUCUUGUGGUUGAGAAUUGCACUACCACAUUUGGAAUUGGAGGCAAGCUAAGUGUGUGUGCCAAAAAUUCUAUUUAGUGGUUAAUGUGCCAACUUACCUCUUGAAAGGUAUGUUGUUCCUAUGUUUUAUUCCCAUGCAAUGUUAAUUGUUCUGAGAUUUUCGGAUAAUUGAUGACUUAUAUUUUGAUGAUAAUUACUUGACACUUUGACAGUCUAUGACAGUAUUAUGCUGUAACUCAUUGUGUAGUACAUAUAUGCCCUUAUUUCAUGUAGAGAUGCUGCUUCCCAGAGUUUAUUUUCACGUGAGAUUAUUUCUUCUAGAGAUUUUGAUGACCUGACUUCUUGAUGUGCUUUGUACAAAUCUUUUCCAUUCUUACGGGGUAAAUGUAUUUAAUGUAUGGGUGGCUAGCCAGUUCACUUCCACAUGUAUUUGACAAUUGGAGCUCAGAAGGAAGUGUGUUUUUUUUUUCCCCACCCCGGGUGCUUGACAGCUGAAGCUCUUCAUAUAAAGGGAUUUACAUGUUAAUCCCCUAGUCAAAUGUGUGAAUCGUUGAUUCUUGUUCUAUUUAAGGAAGCUACUCAACCUAGGAAACUAACCAUAUUGGCCAUUGUUUGCAGGCUUUCAUUGUUUAGUUUAAUUGUAUUAUUUUCUCUUUGUUUUCUGUUCAUGACAUUUGCUGGUCUUAAUUAUCAGGGUCUUUAAUUAAUGUUGUGAACUUUUAAAUUACCCAGCC